UUAACAUCAUUUUCUACUCAACUUACACAUGCAAGCAUCAACGCCCCGGUGAAGAAGCCCAAGACCCCCUCCUAGGGGGUCUUGGGGCCGGCAUCAGGCACAACAAACAGCCCAAAACGCCUAGCACCACCACACCCACAAGGGUCAACAGCAGUGAUUAAUAUUAGAUAUUAGCGCAAGCCUGAUUUAGUCAUAGUAGUUUCGGGCCGGCAAACUCUGUGCCAGCAGCCGCGGUUAAACCGCUAGGGCCCAAAUUGAUGUUCACUCGGCGUAAAAGGUGAUUAAAGUAUUCAUAACGCUAGAAUUAAACCCAAACUUAAACGUAAUAAUUUUGUUUACGGGAAGCCCAAACACGAAAGUUAUUCUACCCCACCCCCCUUGAACUCACGACAGCUUAGACACAAACUGGGAUUUGAUACCCCACUAUGCUCAGCCGUAAACUUUAACUUACACAACAACCGCCAGGGAACUACGAGUAAAACUUAAAACCCAAAGGACUUGACGGUGCCCCAAAUCCAUCUAGAGGAGCCUGUCCCAAAAUUGAUGAUCCGCGCAAACCUUACCAACCCUAGCCUACCAGCUUGUAUACUUCCGUCGCAAGUCUGCCACAUGAGUGAAAAUCAGCAGACUCAAUAUCCUUUAAAAAAUACGUCAGGUCAAAGUGCAGCAAAUGAGUUGGCGGAGAUGGGCUACACUUUCUAACCUAGAAGAGACGAAAGACUUCAUGAAAACUAGUCAGAAGGCGGAUUUAGUAGUAAAAAGAAAACAGAACGCUCUUUUUAAUACGGCCCUGGAGUGCGUACACACCGCCCGUCACCCCCUUCAAAAUCCCCAUAUAACAGUACAUAACAACAAUUCCCAAUAAAGAAGGGGCAAGUCGUAACAUGGAA
rnacentral:ncRNA from 1 species